rnacentral:lncRNA from 10 species
UAAAAAAUAAACAGGAGAGAAUUCUAAAAAUCAACAUCCAUUCUUACUAGAACCCGCUAAAAACUUAAGAACACGCGUGCUCUCCCCAAAUGUGACUGAAAAUGCACAUCCCACCCCGUGGGGCAGCCACGUACUCCGAGAAGCUGCACUCCUGGUUCCCAGCCUGUUUCUAGCCACAAUCAAAUGAGAGAAAGAAACAGAAGCGCACGGAAGGCCUCCCAGGUGAGUCUGUCAUUGUGCGAACUCCACAGUGACUGACACAAAUCCAGAAGGUGCCACCCACUGCACACUGGGCUGGGCCAUGGCCUCAUGCCCCUGAGCUAGACACCUGCACAGCACAUGGCUGUACUGAGUACUGAAGGCUGCUGGGACACAAUGGCAACUGUGUAUCUAAAUAGAGAAAGUGGAGUAAAAAUACAGUAUUGUCAGCUUAUGUGACCGCGUGGUCGUAUAUGUGGUCCACGGUAGACAGAAUGUUAUGUGACACGUGACUGUACUGCAGUGGGCAGGCCAAGGCAAAUUAAAGUUAUUUAUAACUAUGUUCCCGGAAGUCUCAAAAAAUAAACAAACCGGCUCUGCCCGGCGGCCGGCAGCACGAUGUCCCAAUGCCCUCAAGAGCCUCCCUGAGCCUCCAGAAGGAGCGGCAGUGUUGGCACCCGCAGAAGCCCAGGAGGUCAUGUCUGCCUGCGCUGUCUAAUGCCACUGUCUGUGGUCAUUCGUUCCAGCAACAACAGGAAACCCAGGCCCAGGCAACCCAAGCUCAGUGAGAGGAUGGCUGGGGACAGGUUAAUACCCACAGGUAACUUCCUCCACAAAGAAAGCUGGAAAACGCAUGCACGCGCCAUCCUCAAACACACCAGCCACCGAGAAACACAAUAGGCACGUGCUGUGGUGUGGACGUGUCCCCAAGUUCACCAUCGGAAACCUGAUCCCCAACGCAACACUGCUGAGGUCGUGAGGGCUCCGUCCUCACCAAAGCGUUCUCGCUGUUAGCACAGGAGUGGCUCCUGAUAAAAGGGUCUGGACCCACAUGGAGUAGUCACCACCUGUGGCCAGCCAUGGUCCAUGGAGACACCCCCAGAACAAGCCACGGUCCACGGAGACACCCCAGAACCAGCCACGGGCCAUGGAGAUACCCCAGAACCAGCCAGGGUCCACGGAGACACCCCAGAACCUCCCUGGUGGGCAUUUUCCCAAAAGGAAGGUGGGCAGCUCCAGGAAGGAAGCUUUGGGACCAAAGGGGCCUCCACAAUCACCUUGCUAGCGCCUCCCCCUCCACCCCACUUCCAGCCCACAACCCCUCGUAGGAAACUGGCAGCCCCCACAGGAGGCUCGUUACCAUCUUGGGCUCCUUGAAGACCUGGCUGUCGAUCAUGUCCCAGGCUCCCUGGCCCAGCGCCAGCAGCCGGAGCAGCAGCAGGAGGUCGGGGCUGUCCUGUAGGGAGGACGGGCUCAGCGCCUCUCCCAGGCAGCUGUGUCCUGGCCAUGGAGCUCCUCUGACCCUACUCGUUACUCAGCAGGAUCUCUGGUGCCCAUGGCCAGGACCACACGACUGCGAUCACCAGCCCCACACACGGGGUGAAACGCAGUCUCACAGCGGGGAAGCACACGCCUCUACCUGGGCCACUGCAGUCCACAUCCCCGACCACCAGAGCAGCCAGCAGGGCGGCCACAGGGCCCCAACAGCUGCCUCCACCUGGCCGCUGCUGUCCACACCCUGACCACCCAGAGCAGCCAGCGGAGUGGCCGCAUGGCCCCGACAGCUGCUGGCCAAGCCCACACUCACCCUGGGCAGUGUCUCCUGGCCGACCAGCUCCUGCAGGUGCCUGACUGUGCUCAGUGCCAGCGUGUUGAUGGCGAAGGGGUCACACAGGAUCAUGGACAGGUCCCUGGAAGGAGGCCGCCCUGGCAUUAAUGCGACGCCUGUUGCCCCUCCCUUCAGCGGCACAGUCCUCAGGAGGGGUGGCCUAGGCUGAAUUCAGGACUGGCAGCGGGUGCCCAUCACAUGCUGGGUUUCUUACAAAAAGCUUAAGGAUGGCCGAGCGCGGCGGCUCAGCCUGUCAUCCCAGCACUUUGGCAGGCCGGGCGCGGCGGCUCAGCCUGUCAUCCCAGCACUUUGGCAGGCCGAGGCGGAUGGAUCACCAGGUCAGGAGACUGAGACCAGCCUGGCUAACAAAGUGAAACCCUGUCUCUACCAAAAAUACAAAAAAUUAGCCGGGCGUGGUGGUGGUCGCCUGUGGUCCCAGCUACUCGGGAGG